AACGAACGCUGGCGGCGUGUCUUAAGCAUGCAAGUCGUGCGGCAAGGGGUAGCAAUACCCCCUAGAGCGGCGGACUGGUGAGUAACGCGUGGGUGAUCUGCCCUUGGGUUGGGGAUAGCCAUUAGAAAUAGUGGGUAAUACCGAAUACGUUCGCCGGGCUGUGGCCUGGCGAGGAAAAGCGCUUCGUCGCUGCCCGAGGAUGAGCCCGCGUCCCAUUAGCUAGUUGGUGAGGUAACGGCCCACCAAGGCGAUGAUGGGUAGCCGGCCUGGGAGGGUGUACGGCCACACUGGGACUGAGAUACGGCCCAGACUCCUACGGGAGGCAGCAGCUAAGAAUAUUCCGCAAUGGACGAAAGUCUGACGGAGCGACGCCGCGUGGACGAUGAAGGCCGAAAGGUUGUAAAGUCCUUUUGUCGGGGAAGAAUAACCAUGGGAGGGAAUGCCCGUGGGAUGACAUGAACCGACGAAUAAGCCCCGGCUAACCACGUGCCAGCCGCCGCGGUAA
rnacentral:rRNA from 1 species